UACGGAGGGAGCAAGCGUUACUCGGAAUUACUGGGCGUAAAGGGCGCGUAGGCGAUUUUAUAAGUUCUUGUGUGAAAGCCCCGGUGACUUAACGCGGGAAGUGCAUAAGAUACUGUAGGAAUUGAGUUCCGGAGAGGAAGAUGGAAUUCCCGGUGUAGCGGUGAAAUGCGUAGAUAAUCGGGAGGAACACCAGUGGCGAAGGCGAAUCUUCUGGACGGAUAAGUGGACGCUGACGGCGCGAAAGCUAGGGGAGCAAAGCGGGGAUUAAGAUACCCGGA
rnacentral:rRNA from 1 species